rfam:Rhizobium sp. Root149 contig_1, whole genome shotgun sequence.
GGGUCCGCAGUUCACCCAGGCGUCACCGCCCGUUCUUGACGGGAGCUAAACCUGACA